GUACGCAUUGUGCAAGGGUAGCAAGUGAGCUUGGUGUGCUUGAGAGGUCACGGGUUCAAAUCCCCUUGAGGACA
rnacentral:tRNA from 7 species